GGCUGCCUGUGGUCACGUGUUUUCUAUCAGCGGUUCUCUCGAUGCUUGGCUUCGGGCUGAUGGGCCUCAUUUCUGCUUUUCUGUCAGGAAAUGGCCACACUUCCGGAGGAGAAAGUCUAAUUGGAGGUCAGCUGUGACCAGCAGUGCUGUGGAGUUCGAAAAGGCACGGAUGGAGGGCUUAAGGGAGAAAUGUGCCAAGAGGAAGGCCUGUCAAGCCAACCCUGACUGGGACCGCCUUGCGUCUGGAAACCGAUGUCCUCACUGUGAGAGAACAUGCAGAUCAAGAAUAGGUCUCUUCAGCCAUCUAUGGAUCCAUCCCCAAGAUAGCGAAGAUGGAGGACCAUCAUCCUCGAACUACAAGGGAUCGCCUAAGUAAGUAAGCAUUCAGUAAAAAAUUAAUCACCAUCAUUAUAAAUGUGUGAUCGGAAUGGCUGUGCUGAGAGAUGCAGAGAACUCUGAGUAUUUCCAGACAAGAUUACACCAGAGGAAUAAAGGUUCCUUCAGCCCAAAUGUACCAAAGAAUAUAACCUUCUGUUAAUUGCUUGCAUGGCAUGCUUCGGCGUACAGACGUAUGGAAUCCCACCAUGCUGUUUCCUUUCCCUCCAUCUUCUGAAUGCACCAUAAGCUUUGCCUCUGCAUAUAUAUAACAAGCAGCAGAUCCUGGGGGACAUGAGCCUCUUUGGGAAAUGCCUGCCAGUGACAGAGUCUGCACAUGGAUUUCAUUUGGGACAUAUGGCUGGCUGGCUUGUGGCUUGUUUGUCUGGGAGAUCUGAUCUCCCUCCUCCUUGAAGGAAAAGGGUGGUCAUGAAAGGGAGGAGGAAAAGCAUGAGCCACCAGGAAGCCUCCUCUUGCACGCCAGAUUGCUCUUGUGGUUUCCAUGCCCUGCAAAAUAUUUGAUUUUUAUAAAGCUGCAGGCAGGAAGUUACAAAAAAGCCAAAAUCCAACUGAGGAAUGGCUGAUCCAGACUUUCCAUUUGCUUCCUAUUGCCCUCGGGGCUCAAUUUAAGAUGCAAACACUUAACAAUUCAGGGCCAGCUCCAAACAUCUUGCUGCCUGAAGUGGAGUAGCAAUGCUUUCCCCAGGACCCUCAAUACACAUUCAAGUUCAAGUAUAUAAUUGUCAAAAACAACCAAGUCAUUUUGACACAUGAAGCCAAAAACCCCUGUUCCGAAUCUCCUCCCAUCCUUGGCACUGACAAAAACAAUCAUUCACAAUUGGUUGUCCUUUUGUGACACACCUCCCUCCCUCUCUUGAUGUUCAGCACAGUUGUCUCAGGCCCCAUCUACACUGCCAUAUAAUGCAGAUUGAAUUACAUUGAACUGGAUUAUAUGAGUCUACACCAGGCAUGUAGCUGGAGGGGGCGAGCGGAGAUAGGGGUUCACCCCCCCCCCAUUUUUCAGGUUUUUUUUAAACCUGGUUUACUCAUGAAUUUUAACUGGUUAACCAAAUCCCCAUGAGUGUCCACUGAAGUUUAUCAGUGGAGCCUGAUUUCUAAAAUAUUUUGCAUUAUGAAACUACUCUUUAUGAUUUGCUAAAAAAAAGUUUCAAGCCCCCCCCCCCCCCCCGAAUUUUUUUCUGGCUAUGGCCCUGGUCUACACUGUAAUAUAAUCCAGUUCAAUGUGCAUUUUAGUGACAGUAUAGAUCAGGAAUGGGCCUACUUUGGCCCUCACUCAAGGUAUUUGGGAUGUCAACUCCCAGAAUUCCCAAUAGCCAGUAGGCUGUUAGGAAUUCUGGGAAUUGAAGUCCAAAACACCUGGAGGGAGAGCCAAAGAUUGCCCGUGCCUGGUAUAGAUUGUGCUUCUUAGUAAUGCUUGCUAUAGAUUAUUUUGUUCAAGAUGACUUUGUCCAACUACUGUUUUAUUUGUUGCCCUCAAAGAGCCGAAGGAGACGCAGUGUGUUAAAGCGUUGAGCUGCUGAACUUGCAGACCGAAAGGUCCCAGGUUCAAAUCCCGGGAGCGGAGUGAGCGCCCGCUGUUAGCCCCAGCUCCUACCAACCUAGCAGUUUCAAAACAUGCAAAUGUGAGUAGAUCAAUAGGUACCAUUCCGGCGGGAAGAUAACAGCGCUCCAUGCAGUCAUGCCGGCCACAUGACCUUGGAGGUGUCUACGGACAACGCCGGCUCUUCAGCUUAGAAAUUGAGAUGAGCAUCAACCCCCAGAGUCAGACAUGACUGGACUUAACGUCAGGGGAAACCUUUACCUUUUUAGCUAGAUCUAUAUAGAUGGGCAGUAGUGAGAGAGUCUUGCAUUACAAACAAUAAAGACGUAUGGUAUCUUCAGCCAUCAUGCUUCUUGGCAUAUUCUUUCAAAGAAGACUAAUCCAUAGCAACACAAUUGGACCUGACAAGCCUUACAACCUGGUGUGAUUUCUUGAUUCGGGAAUAUUGAGUUAACUUCUUCAUCUCGCCAGGCACGCGGAUCCAUAGUCAGCCUGUGGCCAGUGCCAGUAUCCCUUAUUGGGACUUGGCAUCUGCACUUCAGGUUUUGCCAUCCGUGGCCUGGAUCUCACCAUCCACGGCUGCUUUGAAUUGCUCUAUUUCAUGUGCAACCCACCCUUUGAAACAUUGCAGUGUCCCAAUCUGAAUUCCCCACGGAGACAGUGAGUCACUGAAACUCAGUCCUUCCUCUUUCUGGGAGCUGUGACCUAGGAGAGGCACCUUUCAGUUCUGCUUUAUGUGGUGGAACUGAGACCUGGACUGACCGUCCCUCCCACCUGCACACCUGGCCUCACAAUGUCACUUCUCCUUUAGCUGCGCCUCAUACUAAAAAUAAACCUGGCUCAGAAAGAGGCUGCAAGGGGGCAAGCAAAAGCCCUGGGGAAUGUUUGCUCAUUUCAGGAUGCGUUGGGCUCUUUAAACAAACCCCCACAUGGGCUUAUUUUUAAAUAUACAAGCAGCAUAAUGUGGGGAAUAUAUGAUUUCCUUGUGAUUUCUGCAAGGGCCAGCCAGUUAGCAUUACAAACAGUUUGAUGGAAGGUUCGAAAGAGAAAGGACCGACCAAUCAGUAAUCUUUGGCUGGAAUCAAGAACUAGUUGAUUUUGGCCCUGAUUCAUCAUGGAAAUAUGCCUGUCUGAAAUUGUUCGUGUUUUUUUUUUUGCAAGACUUCAGAACCAUAGAAGGCUUGUUACUGCUGAAUAUGGGCACCAUUGCUUCUGCCCUAAAAAUAUCUCAGCUGCCAUCUACAAGCAAUGAGAUGACAAAGAGUGGAAAUGUGGAGAAACCUGGCAAGAAAACAAAUGAGAAAAACAAGCAACACAGGAAGAAAAGGCCACCUUGUUUGCUAUAUCAGAAAAGGAGAAUAUUAAGAAUAGGCUAGAGCAACACAGGGUGCACUUCAGCUAUCUAUAUAUAUAAAUGAAUGAUGGCAUCACGGCGACCCACAAAACAACAAAACCACUGGCCCCCCAACCUCGAAAUUUGACAACACAACCCAUCAUCCAUGCCUCUAGGUUGAUACAACAAAAAGAAAAGAAAAAUAAAGUCCUAAUUAGAGGGAGAGCAAUAAUUGUUUUUAUCCAAUUGCUGCCAGUUUAGAGGGCUAAUCUCUGCCCACUUGGUCUCCUAGCAACCAACUCAGCCAAGGGAGAGCCAGGGUUCAGUUAGGGGACAGGCAGAUUUAGGCCUCACUUAGGCCUCUUCCACAGAUUAUCUAAUUUGCACUGGAUUAUAUGGCAGUGUAGACUCAAGGCCCUUCCACCAUACUUCGCCACAGCAACGUGUGGCCAGGCACAGCUAGUUAGAAUAUAUAUGGGAUUUUGUAAACUGGGAAUGACAUGGGGAGUCCUUCUCUUUGGAGAAAUAUGUUAGUAGUUAUUACAUACAUUUUCCCACAGAAAGGUAGUGCCCAUUAGAGUUGUGCGCGGAACCGUUUUCCUUCAUUUGAUCCAUUCUUUCCAAGCUUGAGGUGCUCUUACUGCCUAUUACAGGGAAAACCAGCUGAUCCCUAAUCCAUCUAAAAUGCAGAUGUGUGCUUUUCACCUUAAGAACAGACAAGCAUCUCGAGCUCUGAGGAUGACCUGGGAAGGAAUUCCUCUGGAGCAUUGCAGCACACCCAAAUACUUGGGAGUCACUCUGGACCGUGCUCUGACUUACAAGAAGCACUGCUUGAAUAUCAAGCAAAAAGUGGGUGCUUGAUCUUUCGGCGCCCCAGAGCAAAAACAGAUAUCUGCCCUCCUGAUUUUGGAAGGCUCCCAAAAAACAGAUCGGUGCUCCCACCGAAAGCCGGAGCAUGAAACAGGUCAAGGUUUACCCUGAAAGCACAACCCUAGUGCCCAUCACAAUGUGUUAUUAUGUUCUUUCUUUCAUCUCUUUUCACCCUAAGUCACUUUGCUACUCUGCUGCUGAAUACACAUGCCCAGUGUGGAAUAUAUCUCACCACAUUAAAACAGUGGAUGUGGCUCUUAAUGAGACAUGCUGCAUUACCACAGGAUGUCUAUGCCCAACACCACUGGAGAAAUUAUACUGUUCAGCCGACAUUGCACCACCUGACAUCCGCUGGGAAGUAGCAUCCAAUAAUGAAAGGACCAAGGCAGUGACAUCUCUGGUCCAUCCUCUGUUCGGAUAUCAAGAAAUAGUUUUCUAAGAUCUACAGAGAUACUCACAGGAACACUUCAAUGCCAGUGGAAAGGAAGCCAAAACUGAGUCAUCAAGAAACUAGAGCUCCAGUUGACCCAGUUGAGCAGGGAAUACUGCCCAAUUGCCUGUUGUCCCACUUCUAAAAUGUCCCCGUUCCUCUCUUUUUCUGCUACUUUUCUCUUUUGUGCUUUGCUUGCUUCAUUUGCCACAAAAAGAGUCCAAUAUAUAACAAUACGUUGCCCUCCGUUAGCUCAGCAGAGGGAAAGAGAGGAGGGAUCUUCCCAUUCCCAGUUCGCUCAGGUAAAAGCAAACUGCUGCAGAAGACUCACUCUGAAGAAAAGUGCUUGGAAUAUUACCUUUAAGGGCCCGGGCUGUGGCGCAGGCGGGAGAGCAAGCCAGCUGCAAUUAACUGCAAUGAAUCACUCUGACCAGGAGGUCAUGAGUUCGAGGCCGCUCAGAGCCUAUGUUUGGUUGUCUUUGUUCUAUGUUAAAAGGCAUUGACUGUUUGCCUAUAUGUGUGUAAUGUGAUCCGCCCUGAGUCCCCUUCGGGGUGAGAAGGGCGGAAUAUAAAUACUGUAAAUAAAUAAAUAGAUAAAUAAAUAAAUAAAUAAGACACAAUGAAGCCACCCCAUUACUAAGUACGAUGACCUGGGAGAAACCAGAUAUGCAUUUGACAAAAGCUUUCUAUAUGCUCCUGUUUUGUUCCAUUGUCCUAGUAUGUGUUGCCCGAGCAUGGCUGGUUAUUUUCUUCAUUGGGUGAGUUGUGUAUUGCAUCUCCUGCCAGUUGUGCAGGAGACGCAAGCCGUGCACGAAGGCCUUGAUCUGAAGGAUUAGGAACAAGCCUUGGGCUUAAUCCUUUUGGAGAUUGCCGUAUCUCCUCCCUCUCCCACAUAGCUAGCAGCAAGCACAGCCACAGCUGCUGGAAGCUUAAUUUGAAGGCCUGGUCAAAUCUCUUUGAAUCUGAGAUAAGAAGUUGUAAAAUGUAGAUCUCGUGAUAAUGAGGUGACCUAGUCCACUAGUUACAAGGAAGUGCAGGGGAGGCAUUGUGCAGUGAGGAACCACAGAAAGUGCAGCUUGUGGAGUCGAUGUGGGAGAGGUUACUAACAAGAUGGUUUUUUUUUUUAUGUUUAUUACUUUCUAAUUACACAAUUUUAUGUUAGUCCUUUGUUUUUUCUCCUGCCCCUCAGCCUCAUUUCUUCCCACUGACUUCUCAGGUGAACAUGCUGUGAGGCUGGCAGCAUGUUAAUAGUGUCCUACAACUGCAUUAAAACACAAUCCACCUGGUUUAAGAACUGUUCCUUGGCAAUGUCCAUGCAUAGUCCUUAAGGUGGAUGGAAGACAUCACGGCAGAAAGCUGGGUGUUUUGAAAGUUCAGGUGAAGAACUUGUAGUAGACAACGCCUCCCAGGAUGGCAA